rnacentral:rRNA from 1 species
ACGCUCGACACCUACUGGAGGCAGCAGUGGGGAAUAUUGCACAAUGGGGGAAACCCUGAUGCAGCGACGCCGCGUGGAGGAAGAAGGUCUUCGGAUUGUAAACUCCUGUUGUUGGGGAAAAAGAGGAUGGUACCCAACAAGGAAGUGACGGCUAACUACGUACCAGCAGCCGCGGUAAUCUGAGCGGGCUGGCAAGGC